GUCCACGCUGUAAACGAUGGGUGCUAGCUGUUCGGGGGUUACCCCUGAGUGGCGCAGCUAACGCGUUAAGCACCCCGCCUGGGGAGUACGGUCGCAAGAUUAAAACUCAAAGAAAUUGACGGGGACCCGCACAAGCGGUGGAACAUGUGGUUUAAUUCGAGGCAACGCGAAGAACCUUACCAGGGUUUGACAUGCUCUUUAUAGGAUCCCCAAAAAGGAUCCGUCAGUUCGGCUGGAAGAUGCACAGGUGCUGCAUGGCUGUCGU
rnacentral:rRNA from 1 species